rnacentral:misc_RNA from 1 species
UUUCCGUAGGUGAACCUGCGGAAGGAUCAUUAUUGAAUUUCGUUUGGCAUGGCGCAAGCUGUGUCGGACACCCCACCCUAUGUUAAUUCGAGACGGAGCGACAGUCUUCAGGCUGUUGCUCUGACUCCCCCACCCCUUAAUACCUCUUCUGAGUUAUUAAAACUUUCAACAACGGAUCUCUUGGUUCUGGCAUCGAUGAAGAACGCAGC